GGAGUUAGGCAGGUUCAUAUCAACAUGUCAUGUAGAACCAACAAGUAUUGAGGAGAUUUUGGGGAAGAAAAACUAAUUAACUAAGCUGAAGAGAAACAAAUUCUCAGAUUUUACUACUGAAAUCAAAAGUCAAUAGCAUCAUAGGUCUGUAAAUAAAACAUAGAAACUAAGCCCUAUUCAUAGAGUUAGAAACCCCAAUCACGUUAGGAUUCUACAUCAACAUGUAUUUGUAUAAUCUACAUUCAUUUCUUUAUUCAUUUCUUCUGUUUGGUUUAUGAUUGUGUUUCUUCAAGCAGUCAGGUCUUUAAUAUUUUAUAUUACUAAAACACUCAUAAACCAUAAUUGGCUAUUUGGUUUAUGUGGGAUGUAGUCAUUUUUACUAUAGAUUUAGCAAUAUCAUAUCCUAAAUAAAUCAAAUAACAUAGAAAAAUAUUUGCCGAUUAAAUUUUAGGGUUCUCUGAUGGAAAGUAAUAAAUGGUACUGAUUUGUAAUAAGCAUUAUUAUAAGUAGGUCUAUAAUAAGAUUCUCAUAGAUAUAUUUUUAUUUACCAUUUAAUAAUUAUGGACUAUUUUAUUGAAACUAAUGUCCAAUAACUAUUGGAAAGUAGAAUCUUUUGCAUUUUAGGACAUAACCAGCUUUUCUCAAGUCUCAACCAAGAUAAGUCCUAAGCCAAACAGAAUAGAAAAUGAUCCAUAUAAAUAACCAAACUGGUUGGUAGUGAGGCUGUGUUGAGUAAUUGCUAACUCACUAAAGUCUCAACCAGAAGUUACAUGCAGU
rnacentral:misc_RNA from 1 species